rnacentral:rRNA from 1 species
GGUCGCCUCACCGCGAGUACUGGUCCGGCUGGACCUUUCCUUCUGGGGAAUCCCAUGGCCUUCACUGGCUGUGGGGGGAACCAGGACUUUUACUGUGAAAAAAUUAGAGUGUUCAAAGCAGGCCUUUGCUCGAAUACAUUAGCAUGGAAUAAUAGAAUAGGACGUGCGGUUCUAUUUUGUUGGUUUCUAGGACCGCCGUAAUGAUUAAUAGGGAUAGUCGGGGGCGUCAGUAUUCAGCUGUCAGAGGUGAAAUUCUUGGAUUUGCUGAAGACUAACUACUGCGAAAGCAUUCGCCAAGGAUGUUUUCAUUAAUCAGGGAACGAAAGUUAGGGGAUCGAAGACGAUCAGAUACCGUCGUAGUCUUAACCAUAAACUAUGCCGACUAGGGAUCGGGCGGUGUUUCUAUGAUGACCCGCUCGGCACCUUACGAGAAAUCAAAGUUUUUGGGUUCUGGGGGGAGUAUGGUCGCAAGGCUGAAACUUAAAGAAAUUGACGGA